UGGAGGGACGCUCUGGAACGGCGCCGGCGGGGACACGGAGGACACGGCCACGGCUUGCUGCGCUCCUGUCGGACCAGAGGGGAAAGGCGCUGCCUCUCCACCAUCUGCAGAGUCCAGCAGCUCAGGAAGUGUCCCAGGCCUCAGGAACAGCUCCCAACAUCCCCUGUCCCUGCAUGGAUCCCUACCUGUGCUCUGUGUGCCCGCUGAGGGCUUGCGACCUUUGCCUUUGGGAACUGGGGGUAGCAACUCCACCUCCUCCUGAGGCAUCUGGGCAACCUUCUGCAGAAAUAUCUUCUCCAGGGCUUGGGCCAUGAGGACAAUGUCAUCUGUGGGCUGAACAAAGAAGAAUAUGAGCCUUUGUUGUAUCAUUCACAUAUCUGAGAAGACCGGGCUUAGAAAACACUGAGGCCCUUCAAAUAAAUUAUGGUAUUCAAACGCUGACAAUAAACAGAUUAGCUCUUCUCCCUC